GUUAAGCGACUAAGCGUACACGGUGGAUGCCCUGGCAGUCAGAGGCGAUGAAGGACGUGCUAAUCUGCGAUAAGCGUCGGUAAGGUGAUAUGAACCGUUAUAACCGGCGAUUUCCGAAUGGGGAAACCCAGUGUGAUUCGUCACACUAUCAUUAACUGAAUCCAUAGGUUAAUGAGGCGAACCGGGGGAACUGAAACAUCUAAGUACCCCGAGGAAAAGAAAUCAACCGAGAUUCCCCCAGUAGCGGCGAGCGAACGGGGAGCAGCCCAGAGCCUGAAUCAGUGUGUGUGUUAGUGGAAGCGUCUGGAAAGGCGUGCGAUACAGGGUGACAGCCCCGUACACAAAAAUGCACAUAUUGUGAGCUCGAUGAGUAGGGCGGGACACGUGGUAUCCUGUCUGAAUAUGGGGGGACCAUCCUCCAAGGCUAAAUACUCCUGACUGACCGAUAGUGAACCAGUACCGUGAGGGAAAGGCGAAAAGAACCCCGGCGAGGGGAGUGAAAAAGAACCUGAAACCGUGUACGUACAAGCAGUGGGAGCACGCUUAGGCGUGUGACUGCGUACCUUUUGUAUAAUGGGUCAGCGACUUAUAUUCUGUAGCAAGGUUAACCGAAUAGGGGAGCCGAAGGGAAACCGAGUCUUAACUGGGCGUUAAGUUGCAGGGUAUAGACCCGAAACCCGGUGAUCUAGCCAUGGGCAGGUUGAAGGUUGGGUAACACUAACUGGAGGACCGAACCGACUAAUGUUGAAAAAUUAGCGGAUGACUUGUGGCUGGGGGUGAAAGGCCAAUCAAACCGGGAGAUAGCUGGUUCUCCCCGAAAGCUAUUUAGGUAGCGCCUCGUGAAUUCAUCUCCGGGGGUAGAGCACUGUUUCGGCAAGGGGGUCAUCCCGACUUACCAACCCGAUGCAAACUGCGAAUACCGGAGAAUGUUAUCACGGGAGACACACGGCGGGUGCUAACGUCCGUCGUGAAGAGGGAAACAACCCAGACCGCCAGCUAAGGUCCCAAAGUCAUGGUUAAGUGGGAAACGAUGUGGGAAGGCCCAGACAGCCAGGAUGUUGGCUUAGAAGCAGCCAUCAUUUAAAGAAAGCGUAAUAGCUCACUGGUCGAGUCGGCCUGCGCGGAAGAUGUAACGGGGCUAAACCAUGCACCGAAGCUGCGGCAGCGACGCUGAUGCGUUGUUGGGUAGGGGAGCGUUCUGUAAGCCUGCGAAGGUGUGCUGUGAGGCAUGCUGGAGGUAUCAGAAGUGCGAAUGCUGACAUAAGUAACGAUAAAGCGGGUGAAAAGCCCGCUCGCCGGAAGACCAAGGGUUCCUGUCCAACGUUAAUCGGGGCAGGGUGAGUCGACCCCUAAGGCGAGGCCGAAAGGCGUAGUCGAUGGGAAACAGGUUAAUAUUCCUGUACUUGGUGUUACUGCGAAGGGGGGACGGAGAAGGCUAUGUUGGCCGGGCGACGGUUGUCCCGGUUUAAGCGUGUAGGCUGGUUUUCCAGGCAAAUCCGGAAAAUCAAGGCUGAGGCGUGAUGACGAGGCACUACGGUGCUGAAGCAACAAAUGCCCUGCUUCCAGGAAAAGCCUCUAAGCAUCAGGUAACAUCAAAUCGUACCCCAAACCGACACAGGUGGUCAGGUAGAGAAUACCAAGGCGCUUGAGAGAACUCGGGUGAAGGAACUAGGCAAAAUGGUGCCGUAACUUCGGGAGAAGGCACGCUGAUAUGUAGGUGAAGUCCCUCGCGGAUGGAGCUGAAAUCAGUCGAAGAUACCAGCUGGCUGCAACUGUUUAUUAAAAACACAGCACUGUGCAAACACGAAAGUGGACGUAUACGGUGUGACGCCUGCCCGGUGCCGGAAGGUUAAUUGAUGGGGUCAGCGCAAGCGAAGCUCUUGAUCGAAGCCCCGGUAAACGGCGGCCGUAACUAUAACGGUCCUAAGGUAGCGAAAUUCCUUGUCGGGUAAGUUCCGACCUG
rnacentral:rRNA from 1 species